GUGUUUGCUUCGAUAACACAUGUACUAAAACAAUAUACUGGAACACUACAGAAAUUAGCAUGGCCCCUACAUAAGGAUGAUACGAAAAUUCAUGAAAUGGUCCGUAUUUUU
ensembl:snRNA U6 U6 spliceosomal RNA